ACCGUUUCUCAAGGUUGACAAGUCAGUCAAACCCAUUUUUGGACACGGAAAGGCCAAAACAACCUCGCGGGUAAAGACGGCUAAGAAAUAAAACAUUCAGAUUUAGAUUUGUUGACUGGCUGGUUGCAUUUCCUGCCUGUGUGAGUCUCUGUGACGAAAGUUGGGAGAACAAUACAGGACGUUUACUGCCAGACUGUGAUGCAAUCUAUGUUGGAAGACAGGAGUCACAUCUCCUCCUGCUAUCCCACCAUGACACGACAAGACUCAGCUCAGACUCAGCGUCUGAAGAAAUUCACCUCUCAGCCCUCCAUGCAGGAGCUUUCAGACGGUUGUUUGUCCACCACGAAACCAAAAACUUACAUCAUCCUGUGAAGCUAAAGCUAACAAACUGCAUGCUAACGUAGCAUCUUCAUUCUGAGAUCAAACCAGCUAAAAAAACAAAACUGUUGCUUGUUUGCUAAAUUAAAUGUUCUGAACUGAAUCCAACUGAGCAGAUGUUUCGUCAGUCAAACAGGAUGUGCUGAUGUAUUUCAAAAUAAAAGGCUU